AGGGGCACGCUUAGAGCCCCUCGCACCUUGUGUUAAUAGUGAUGCCUUUGGCCGGGCAUCACGGUUAGUGAAUC
rnacentral:ncRNA from 1 species